rnacentral:rRNA from 1 species
UGCGUGCGCAGCUUACCAUGCAGUCGAGCGGUAACAGGGGUAGCUUGCUACCCGCUGACGAGCGGCGGACGGGUGAGUAAUGCAUAGGAAACUGCCCAGUAGUGGGGGAUAGCCCGGGGAAACCCGGAUUAAUACCGCAUACGUCCUUCGGGAGAAAGCAGGGGAUCUUCGGACCUUGCGCUAUUGGAUGUGCCUAUGUCGGAUUAGCUGGUUGGUGAGGUAAUGGCUCACCAAGGCGACGAUCCGUAGCUGGUCUGAGAGGAUGAUCAGCCACAUCGGGACUGAGACACGGCCCGAACUCCUACGGGAGGCAGCAGUGGGGAAUAUUGGACAAUGGGGGCAACCCUGAUCCAGCCAUGCCGCGUGUGUGAAGAAGGCUUUCGGGUUGUAAAGCACUUUCAGUGAGGAGGAAAAGUUAGUCCUUAAUACGGGCUAGCCUUGACGUUACUCACAGAAGAAGCACCGGCUAACUCCGUGCCAGCAGCCGCGGUAAUACGGAGGGUGCAAGCGUUAAUCGGAAUUACUGGGCGUAAAGCGCGCGUAGGUGGUUUGAUAAGCGAGAUGUGAAAGCCCCGGGCUUAACCUGGGAACGGCAUUUCGAACUGUCAGGCUAGAGUGUGGUAGAGGGUAGUGGAAUUUCCUGUGUAGCGGUGAAAUGCGUAGAUAUAGGAAGGAACACCAGUGGCGAAGGCGGCUACCUGGACCAACACUGACACUGAGGUGCGAAAGCGUGGGGAGCAAACAGGAUUAGUCCCC